GCGGAAGUAGUUCAGUGGUAGAACACCACCUUGCCAAGGUGGGGGGGGUCGCGGGUUCGAAUCCCGUCUUCCGCU
rnacentral:tRNA from 1 species